rnacentral:lncRNA from 1 species
AUGGCCGGGGGUCAGGAGGGGCCCAGCCCCCGCCCCAGCGAGGAGGAGCCCGGCAGCGACGGCAGGAGCACCUCGGAACGGGUGCAAGAACUGAUCAUCAACAAGGACCCGACGCUCCUGGACAAUUUCCUGGAUGUGAGCGGGGAAANNNNNNNNNNNNNNNNNNNNAUGGGGGGAUGGGGGGACGGGAGGAGCACCUCGGAACGGGUGAGAAAAUGGGGAAAAAACGGGAAAAAAUGGGCAAAAAUGGGCAAAAAACGGGAAAAAACUGGGAAAAAACAAGAAAAACUGGGAAAAAACUGGGAAAAACCAGGAAAAAAUGGGAAAUACUGGGGAAAAAAUGGGAAAAAUGGGAAAAAUGGGGGGAAAACGGGAAAAAUGGGGAAAAAAGGGAAAAAACUGGGAGAAAUGGGGGAAAAAUGGGAAAAACUGGGGAAAAAUGGGGAUAAAUUGGGGGAAAAUGGGGAAAAAAUGGGAAAAAAUGGGGAAAAAAUGGGGAAAAAAAUGGGAAAAAUGGGGAAAAAUGGGAAAAACUGGGAAAAUUUGGGAAAAAACUGGGAAAAAAUGGGUAAAAAUGGGGAAAAAAGGGGAAAAAAAUGGGAAAAAUGGGGAAAAAAAUGGGAAAAAUGGGGAAAAAUGGGAAAAAAUGGGAAAAUUUGGGAAAAAAUGGGGGAAAAUGGGGAGAAAAUGGGAAAAAUGGGGAAAAACUGGAAAAAAUGGGAAAAACUGGGAAAAAAUGGGAAAAAAAUGGGGAAAAAAUGGGGAAAAAAUGGGAAAAACUGGGAAAAAAAAAGGGGAAAAAAUGGGGAAAAAUGGGAAAAAUGGGAAAAAUGGGGAAAAACUUGGAAAAACUGGGAAAAAGUGGGAAUAAUUCCGUGUGCAGGUGGUGGAUUUGCUGAACCAGGCGGCGCUGAUCGGGAACGAGGGGAAAAUCACAAUCCUGAAACAGGUGAGAUCCGGGAAAAAUGGGAAUUUUGGGGGAAAAUGGGAAUUUGGGGGGGAAAAAUGGGAUUUUGGGGUGGAAAAUUGGGAUUUGGGGUCGUAAAUUGGGAUUUUGGGGUGGAAAAU